UGAAGCGGAGCAAAUCUCAAAAACCGGUACCCAGUUCGGAUUGUAGGCUGCAACUCGCCUACAUGAAGUCGGAGUUGCUAGUAAUCGCGGAUCAGAAUGCCGCGGUGAAUGCGUUCCCGGGUCUUGUACACACCGCCCGUCACACCAUGAGAGUUGGGAAUACCCGAGCCUGUGAGCUAACGAAAGAGGCAGCAGUCGAAGGUAGAAUCAAUGAUUGGGGUGAAGUCGUAACAAGGUAUC
rnacentral:rRNA from 1 species